UAUCAUUUAGAGGAAGGAGAAGUCGUAACAAGGUUUCCGUAGGUGAACCUGCGGAAGGAUCAUUGUUGCAACCUGCGUAGCAGAACAACCCGCGAACAUGUAUGUAAUAUUUGGAAAGCAAGCGGUGGCCCUGUAGCCCCAAUUGUGGCCCACUGUUGGGUGGUGCACUCUGAGCCCCUAGGGGCAACGCGUGAACACCCCAACAAAAUAACGAACCCCGGCGCAAAACGCGCCAAGGAACUUUUUAAUAAAGAGAGCUUGCCCCUGAUGCCCUGUUCGCGGGUGCUAGGGGGUAGUGGCAUCUUUCACGAAUCUAAACGACUCUCGGCAACGGAUAUCUCGGCUCUCGCAUCGAUGAAGAACGUAGCGAAAUGCGAUACUUGGUGUGAAUUGCAGAAUCCCGUGAACCAUCGAGUUUUUGAACGCAAGUUGCGCCCGAAGCCAUUAGGUUGAGGGCACGUCUGCCUGGGCGUCUCACAUUGCGUCGUUCCCAAUCCUCACCCCAAAGGGUGUUGGUAUUCGGAAGCGGAUUUUGGCCCCCCGUGCACUCAUGUAUGCGGUCGGCCUAAAAAUGAGUCCCUGGCGAUGCGUGUCACGACAAGUGGUGGUUGAUAAGCCGUUGCGUCCUGUUGUGCACGCUUCGUCGCCAAGGGUUCUCUCUAAUGACCCGUAAGUGCCGUUGCAACGGUGCCUCGAUUGCGACCCCAGGUCAGGCGGGACUACCCGCUGAGUUUAAGCAUAUCAAUAA
rnacentral:misc_RNA from 1 species